rnacentral:lncRNA from 1 species
GUUCCUGUGGUCACUUCCAGCUGACGACUCCCAGGCUGCCCCUGAUCCCUCUGCAGAACCAACUCCUGUGUCCAGCCAAUGACUCGAGACCUCCCCUGGCCAUGGAGCCCCUGCCCCCGUGCUCUUCCUCUCAGGGAGUGGUGCGGCUGCCCACUCCCCCCGGAUGCCCCACUGAGAAGGUUGGGGAGUGCAAGAAGGGGGUCAGGGGGUUGGGGCAAGGCUGGCUGCAGCAGAGUGAUAGGGAGUGGCAGGAGACAGUGACAACCAAGAGCAGAAGGAGCCCACUCAGAGCCUGAGGUGGU